rnacentral:hammerhead_ribozyme from 1 species
AUCCAGCUGACAACUCCUGAAUAGGACGAAACGUGCGUCCUGGAU